UUAUGGCUCAGGACGAACGCUGGCGGCGUGCUUAACACAUGCAAGUCGAACGGAGUUACGGGAGCUUGCUCCUGUAACUUAGUGGCGGACGGGUGAGUAACGCGUGAGCAACCUGCCUUACAGAGGGGGAUAGCCAUUGGAAACGAUGGAUAAUACCGCAUAACGUACAGUCAUGGCAUCUUGAUUGUACCAAAGGAGCAAUCCGCUGUAAGAUGGGCUCGCGUCCGAUUAGAUAGAUGGUGAGGUAACGGCCCACCAUGUCGACGAUCGGUAGCCGGACUGAGAGGUUGAACGGCCACAUUGGGACUGAGACACGGCCCAGACUCCUACGGGAGGCAGCAGUGAGGGAUAUUGCACAAUGGGCGAAAGCCUGAUGCAAGCAACGCCGCGUGAGGGAUGACGGUUUUCGGAUUGUAAACCUCUGUCUUCGGUGAUGAUAAUGACAUUAGCCGAGGAGGAAGCCACGGCUAACUACGUGCCAGCCGCGGC
rnacentral:rRNA from 1 species